ensembl:piRNA 21ur-3148 ncRNA
UCAGCUUUCUGAAAAAUCAAU